AAAAAAUAAAUAAAUAAAAAACUCUAUCCACCACAACAAACAUGAAACUGAGAGAGAUUUCAUAAAGUCUUCAGUUUAUUUGAUCACUUGGUACGGCUCAUCAAGACACAAGAGUUUGCAAAAGAAGACAGUAGAUACCAAAAUAGUUAGUGAUAUAAGGGGGAAAAUAUAUGCCUGCUCGGACCACAUUAUGUGUCCAGGGGUACGACCACGAACUUAUCGCCCAAAUAGAGAGGUCGUAGCCGACCAUAGAGUGAUUGGUCCCCUAGGGUAAGCCCAGGGCCAAUGCUCUCAUGACCUAAAUACUAUGACUACAGCCAUUCAAAACUAGCUCUGCCAAUUCUCCUAAACAGCCUACACUCUUCCAUGAGUACCAUAAAAAUCUAGCUCAAUUGCCUUGUACACCAAGUCACCUCAAGCCGGCUGGGAGUAUUAAAUAAAUAGCUGACUGGGCGCAUUUAAUAUCCUGGAACUCAAGGACUUUCCACUCAGACAAAGUACUAACACAGCUACUCUACAAAGACCUAGAUCCUAAGGUAAUUGUCACUAACAUGCCAAGGUAUAAAAAUGACGUCUACUAUUUAUAGGUAUGAUAGACAAGAAUCUUAGCCAAAACAUGCACCAAUCUAAUAAUGCCCGCGAAUUGUCCACUGGCUCUACUUAGCAUUCCGAUAGCUCAAAGAAACUUAGUUUGUACUGGGUGAAGGUAUUGAUCAAAGGAACAUUAAGCAUCCUGUCACUUGAGCAUGUGUUCCUUAUUUUCAAUAGGCAAAACUUCUAGCUCAGCUCAAAGAAACUUAGUUUGUAUUGGGUGAAGGUAUUGAUCAAAGGAACAUUAAGCAUCCUGUCACUUGAGCAUGUGUUCCUUAUUUUCAAUAGGCAAAACUUCUAGCUCAGCUCAAAGAAACUUAGUUUGUAUUGGGUGAAGGUAUUGAUCAAAGGAACAAUAAUCAUCCUGUCAUAGCACUCCAAAAAAGAAAAAACACAGCAACAAAUUACAGAAUGUAAUCCCAACAUUUGAGAAGGAUCUGAAUCCAAUUGGUAAAUUUCUUAGCAGGACAAUUUA
rnacentral:misc_RNA from 1 species